rnacentral:sRNA from 1 species
CCACCUCAAUGUAGAGACGUCAUUCUACCACUGCUACACGGGAAGGAAAUCUCUGGUGUAAAACGUUUACCAGGGAAUAAAUUUAUUGAUGGCGCAAAUACCGCUGAAAAAUUGUACAUCCUGAUCGCACAUGAUAUUAAACACCUGCGCCCACAGCAACAGGCAUACUACCACCACGAUGCCGAGAACGACCCAUCGAAAUUUUUUCACUCCACUCUCCGAUCUUACAUCUUAUGUCGCUAAAUUAUCAU